AUGGACGAAAGUCUGACGGAGCAACGCCGCGUGAGUGAUGAAGGCUUUCGGGUCGUAAAACUCUGUUGUUAGGGAAGAACAAGUGCUAGUUAAAUAAGCUGGCACCUUGACGGUACCUAACCAGAAAGCCACGGCUAACUACGUGCCAGCAGCCGCGGUAAUACGUAGGUGGCAAGCGUUAUCCGGAAUUAUUGGGCGUAAAGCGCGCGCAGGUGGUUUCUUAAGUCUGAUGUGAAAGCCCACGGCUCAACCGUGGAGGGUCAUUGGAAACUGGGAGACUUGAGUGCAGAAGAGGAAAGUGGAAUUCCAUGUGUAGCGGUGAAAUGCGUAGAGAUAUGGAGGAACACCAGUGGCGAAGGCGACUUUCUGGUCUGUAACUGACACUGAGGCGCGAAAGCGUGGGGAGCAAACAGGAUUAGAUACCCUGGUAGUCCACGCCGUAAACGAUGAGUGCUAAGUGUUAGAGGGUUUCCGCCCUUUAGUGCUGAAGUUAACGCAUUAAGCACUCCGCC
rnacentral:rRNA from 1 species